UACGGGGGGGCAAGCGUUGUUCGGAAUUACUGGGCGUAAAGGGCUCGUAGGCGGCCAACUAAGUCGGAUGUGAAAUCCCCAGGCUCAACCUGGGAACUGCAUCCGAUACUGGAUGGCUUGAAUCCGGGAGAGGGAUGCAGAAUUCCAGGUGUAGCGGUGAAAUGCGUAGAUAUCUGGAGGAAUACCGGUGGCGAAGGCGGCAUCCUGGACCGGCAUUGACGCUGAGGAGCGAAAAGCUAGGGGAGCAAACGGGG
rnacentral:rRNA from 1 species